CCUUGAGGGAGUAAACAUGUUAGUUCUUUCUCCGAAAGCAGAUGUGCCUUUGCCUUUUGUAAACGCACCGGCAAGCAGUUUUUUUUAGUGCUGUGCCAAACAGCGACAGUGCCGCUCUCCACCUUCAUCAGCUGUCUUCAUCCCCCUCACCGUCUCACGAAGGCAUUCUGCCGCCAGCACGAACCGUCUUUUAACCAGGCCACAUGGUGCUGUGACGGCCCUGUGAAGUCACUGGAUCUCCGUCCUCUUUCCCCACAAUCUGCUGCUGCAGAUGACACCAGCCAUGGACCCC
rnacentral:lncRNA from 1 species